rnacentral:snoRNA from 1 species
AACUCAUAAUGAGGACAUCUUCUAAGCAAAUCCUUGUAUCUCUCCCAAGCCUCAUACAAUGAUUUUGAGUUGCAUAAAGGAAGUGACAUCAUUUUGCAUCU